CUCAUCUCCAUUAAAGCCUUCACUAGAGGAUCUUAGCGAGACCCUCCAAAAAGAGCCGGACUGCUAAGGCAGCUUCGUUCGCCCCUCUAAUCCUCUGCGAGCUUCGUUGAUCUCGCCCCUUCUGCUUUCAAACCCAUGCAUCUUGUCUUUCGCACAUCAACAGCAGCAGUAGCAGAUCGAUGACUACGUCAUCAAAUCGAUCUCGCCUUUCUGUGGAGGUGACGCAGAGGGUUGAUGGGUUGUUUCUGAGGAAUCAAUCGACGGCGGCGACUCAGGCUUCUCUCUUUCUGGAGUCCAGCCUCUUUUCCUCUCACAGGUAACGACUCAAGCUUCUCGAAGUAGCAGAGAAAAAAAUGGAGUUUUAACUUUGAAUUAUCAGUUUGGUAUUUAAGGUCUGGUGGGAUUAGUCUGAAGAAAAAAAUGGUGCAAGAAUCUUUCAAUGGGAGUAGUCUCUUCCGACUUCUGCUGCAUUUGAUUCCAAGUCAAUCUUGAAGUGGCCAAACAUACAAGAAAGAUGGCAGGCAAGAGAGAUACUUUGAUCGGAUUCUGUUCAUGCCGAAUGAAGCAAACAUACUGAACUGUCGAGCAAAUGC